rnacentral:rRNA from 1 species
CGCAGGUUAACAAAAACAUGUCCUUUUGAAUGUAUAUAAGGUCUAACCUGCCCAAUGAGGAUUUAAAUGGCCGCAGUAUUUUGACUGUGCAAAGGUAGCAUAAUUAUUAGUUUUUUAAUUGAAAGCUUGUAUGAAGGGUUGGACGAGAUAAAAUCUGUCUUUAUUUAAAUUACAGUAGAAUUUAACUUUUAAGUCAAAAGGCUUAAAUUUGUAUAAAAGACGAGAAGACCCUAUAGAUCUUUAUUUAAUUAAUAUUUUAAUAAUUUAAGGUUAAUUUAGUUUAAAGUUUUAAUUGAAUUUUAUUGGGGUAAUAUAAAGAUUAAAAUAAUUCUUUUUAUUUCUCACAUUGAUUUAUGAAUUUGUGAUCCAAUAUUAUUGAUUAUAAGAUUAAGUUACCUUAGGGAUAACAGCGUAAUUUUUUUGGAGAGCUCAUAUCGAUAAAAAAGUUUGCGA